AUUAUUCUGAGAACAAAAAUUUGUGUCUUUAAAUUGGUAAUUCGUUUUUGGUUUUUGAUGGCAUCGUCUGUUGCAAUUGAUCCCGUUGUGACCCUGUGCCCUCCAAAUCACAAUUGGAGGAUCAAAGUGAGAGUUGUUCGACUAUGGAUUGCUGAUGGGUUUGCUGGGGAAAACAAACCUGCUUCAAUGGAGUUGAUUUUACUGGAUCAACAUGUAUGUGUGAUGUUCUUUUACGCUUUGUUUUUUUUUAUUGUUAGUAUUGUGAUAUUGUGAUUUUUUUGCUGAAUAUGUAUGUUAAUUUUUCUUCAUGUCCCUUAGAUUGAUUUUGUUAUUUGAUUGUACUUCAGAUAAUAAUGUAAUAUUAUGUGUCAUUUUAGGGUGGAAAAAUCCAAGCAACUGUGAGGAAGCUCAUGUUUAGGAAGUGGGGUGAACAGUUCGUGGAAGGAAAUGUUUAUAUCAUUACAUUUUUUCACUUGAUCCCCAAUUUGGGUGCCUAUCGACCUACUGAUCAUGCUUUUAGGAUUCUUUUUAAUCCUAAAACUAAGAUCAUUCCAGCUGAGAGUAGCAUUAUCCCAAGGUGGGGAUUUUCUCUGAAGGAUUCUGCUCAACUUAAUGAUGAUGGCUUCCAGACGGAAUACUUAGUUGGUGGGUGUUUUUUAACAAUGAGCCUAGGCUAUAGAUUUUGUUUGAAAUUUUCUCAUCCAAAUAUUUCGAUGUAGAUAUGAUUGGUUUGUUGACAGCUACCUCUGAGGAAAGGACUUAUGUCAAGGAUGACAUUGUUACAAAGAUGAUGUUGCUUGAAAUUAGUGAUGACAAGUAUGGCCUAUCUUUAUUUAAGAAGGAUUUGAAUAUUUGCUUCAGCCUUCUGUUGUAAAUUAUUUCCUGUUACUAUUUUGUAUUUAUAUGUGUGUAUAUUUUAUUUUUUAACAGAGGAAAACUGGAGUGUGCCCUUUUUGGAGAGUAUGUUCAGAUUGUAUUGGACUACCUUAGUUCUAAUCCUUUGGAAAAGCCUGUUGUGGUUCUCCAGCUUGCAAAGCUUAAGUCAUUUAGAGGUACUUUUUUAUUUAUACAAGGAAUGAUAAUCAUAUUGGAUUUCCACUUAAUUUCUGUUGUUUUUAUUAUAGGUAAGAAUGUUCUUCAGAAUGUAAUGAAAGCAUCGAGGAUUAUCUUUAAUCCUGAGGUUGCUGAAGCUGAAUCUUUGAUGGACCGGUUAGUUUUGAGAUGUUUGUUAUUUGUAAUUUUUAGGUUGACUUGUUUCUGAAUUUUCUGAUUUGUCUUUUGUUUUAUUGUAGCAUAUCUGGCCUUAAUAUGCAGCCCAAUCAACCUGUGGGGCAUAUUAUUUCUCCUAAUCCUUCUGUUCCAAUUUUUGAAGAUUUUAUGAACAACUAUCCUAAGAAAACUAUAUGUGCUUUGAAUGAAACUACUGAGGUAUUUUGCUAUUUUUGUUUUCCAGAUUUAAGGUUAUUGGUUGUGCAAAGUUAAUAGGGUUAUUUCUUUGAUCCCGUUGUGACCCCGUGACCUCCAAAUCACAAUUGGAGGAUCAAAGUGAGAGUUGUUCGACUAUGGAUUGCUGAUGGGUUUGCUGGGGAAAACAAACCUGCUUCAAUGGAGUUGAUUUUACUGGAUCAACAUGU
rnacentral:lncRNA from 1 species